rnacentral:rRNA from 1 species
CGGUAAGCCUGAAUACUCCCUGGUGACCGAUAGCGGACUAGUACCGUGAGGGAAAGGUGAAAAGUACCCCGGGAGGGGAGUGAAAUAGUACCUGAAACCGUGCGCUUACAAUCCGUCAGAGCCUGCGAGUGACUUUGUUGCUGUGGGUGAUGGCGUGCCUUUUGAAGAAUGAGCCUGCGAGUUAGUGGCAUGUGGCGAGGUUAACCCGUGUGGGGUAGCCGUAGCGAAAGCGAGUCCGAAUAGGGCGUUGAGUCGCGUGUUCUAGACCC